rnacentral:rRNA from 1 species
UACAGAGGGGGCAAGCGUUAUUCGGAAUUAUUGGGCGUAAAGGGCGCGUAGGCGGCUUUGCAAGUGGCGGGUGAAAUCCCUCGGCUUAACCGAGGAACUGCCUGCCAGACUGUGAGGCUUGAGACCGGGAGAGGUGAGUGGAAUUCCCAGUGUAGCGGUGAAAUGCGUAGAUAUUGGGAGGAACACCAGUGGCGAAGGCGGCUCACUGGACCGGUUCUGACGCUGAUGCGCGAAAGCGUGGGGAGCAAACGGGG